CAGCCGCCGCGGUAAUACGUAGGUGGCAAGCGUUGUCCGGAAUUAUUGGGCGUAAAGGGCUCGCAGGCGGUUUCUUAAGUCUGAUGUGAAAGCCCCCGGCUCAACCGGGGAGGGUCAUUGGAAACUGGGAAACUUGAGUGCAGAAGAGGAGAGUGGAAUUCCACGUGUAGCGGUGAAAUGCGUAGAGAUGUGGAGGAAUACCAGUGGCGAAGGCGACUCUCUGGUCUGUAACUGACGCUGAGGAGCGAAAGCGUGGGGAGCGAACAGGAUUAGAUACCCCUGUAGUCCCUGUCUCUUAUAC
rnacentral:rRNA from 1 species